GCUGUCAUCAAGAGAUAGCUCAGUUGGUUAGAGCAUGGCGCUGAUAAUGCCAAGGUUGCAGGCUCAAUCCCCAUAUGGGACAGCU